rnacentral:rRNA from 1 species
AGUGAACGCUGGCGGCAUGCCUAACACAUGCAAGUCGAACGGCAGCACGGGCAGCGCCCUCUCUUGCAGUUGGCGACGGGCGGGUGAGUCAUACGUACGUGCCCAUCAUUUUUGGCUAGGACGACGACGGACGGAUUGAUACGCCAUCCGAGCAUACGACGAACGGGGGGGAUCUUCGGACCUCGCGCGCUUGGCUAGUACGAUGACGGAUUAGCUAGUUGGUGGGGUAAAGGGCUACCAAGGCGACGAUCCGUAGCUGGUCUGAGAGGCUGACCAGCCACACUGGAACUGAGACACGGUCCAGACUCCUACGGGAGGCAGCAGUGGGGAAUAUUGGACAAUGGGCGAAAGCCUGAUCCAGCAAUGCCGCGUGAGUGAUGAAGGCCUUCGGGUUGUAAAGCACUUUUGUUGGGAAAGAAAAGGAGUGUGUUAAUACCACGGUGUGAUGACGGUACCCAAAGAAUAAGCACCGGCUAACUACGUG